rnacentral:lncRNA from 1 species
ACGACCGGAUACUGGGGACUAUUUCACCCCUUACUGCUACCACAUAUCACAUAGCAUCAUAGCAUACUAGCACAUAAACAUAAACAUAACACAGGUAGUAACAACCCUAGAUGAAUAUCACAGAGACAAUCACCUAUCAGACAACUCCUACUGGUGGGCCGGCAUUGUGGUCGUAGACCCACCGCUACUGGAAGGNNNNNNNNNNNNNNNNNNNNNNNNNNNNNNNNNNNNNNNNNNNNNNNNNNNNNNNNNNNNNNNNNNNNNNNNNNNNNNNNNNNNNNNNNNNNNNNNNNNNNNNNNNNNNNNNNNNNNNNNNNNNNNNNNNNNNNNNNNNNNNNNNNNNNAAGUCAAAGUCAACUGCCAGUUGGCCCAACUCGCCGAGUUGACUUGCCAACUCGCCGAGUCCCUAUCCCUUUGUCCGACCAUAAACCCGUCUCUACUCGUCGAGUUAAGCAUUGACUCGACGAGUUCUCCUUCUAAACUAAAGGCCAAUAGUCCUUCAUCCUACUCGCCGAGUUGUAUGAACAACUCGCCGAGUUCAUCUUCAUCCGAAGAACACUCUAUGCUGAGACUCGCCGAGCUGUAUGAACAACUCGCCGAGUCUGUUCUUGAGGCAAGAAGAUUGCCUUGAACUCGCCGAGUCAUGGCAUUGACUCGCCGAGUUACUUCAUGAGUGAGUCUGGCUUCCGACCCACUGAGUCACACCCCCAUGACUCAUUGCUCCAACCCGCAAGGGGAAAACUCGGGGACUCGUGACUCGACUCGCCGAGUCAGAUGAACGACUCGCUGAGUAUACCACAUACAAAUACUAUACAUGCGAUUCUACUUGAAUCCAGCUCAUGCCAUUAAUAGAUCUGGGUUUCUAGGGCCUGAUUAACACGUAAAGUUUCCAACUUUACGUGUAAAUAAACACCCAAGAGGGUUUUAGGGCUCAAAAUGCACCAAAAGAGUAGAUCUAGGGCUUUCAUGCAAUAUGGCUCCAUAAAGGCAGUAGAUCCAAGCUCCUGGAGCUCAAUCAUGCCUAGAUCUAGAGGCUAAACAACUUAUUACGAACCCUAAAACACAAACAAGCUUGGGAAAAGGCUCAAGAAGGACUUUCAUGGAGCUACAAGGGACAUUAAGCAUGAAAACAGAGGGAAACUGAGUUAUACCUCAAGGAAAUCACUGAGAUAACACAAAUAUGCCUGGCCUCCUUCUUCUCUUCUUGAUCUACUCUCCUUCCCUCUCCAAAUCUUCAAGAAAACACACCAAAAUGCUUCAAUCUCACAAGGAACAAGGCUUGAACGAAGUAUAGAGCUCUGAGGGUGAAGGGGGCGAGCUUGGGGGCGGAUAAGAGGGUUUAAAUAGGGUGCAAACCCUUGAAAUUUAGGGUUUCAUCAGACAGCGGGGACUCGCCGAGUCCAGAAUAUGGACUCGCCGAGUCGCCAACUUAAACGUGUUCCGGAUCCCGUCUCUACUCGGCGAGUCGGACCUACAACUCGCCGAGUCCAAGGCUAAAAAUGAAAAACACUAAGAUAAAUUUUACGUACCAGGAACCAGGUGCUACAAAUCUCCCCCACUUAUUUUAGACUUCGUCCUCGAAGUCUGCUGCUCGAUCCUGAAACAGCUCGGGGUAAUGCUCCAUCAUUUCUUCCACCGGCUCCCAAGUCCAUUCCGAACCCUUUCGGUGCUGCCAUUGCACCUUUACUAAUUCCACCCUCUUGUUCCUCAGAUCCUUCGACUUCCGGUCGAGGAUUGCGACUGGGCGCUCAAUGUAAUUCAGGCUGUCAUCAACCUGUAUAUCCUCUAGCGGCACCACCGCUGAAUCAUCCACUAGGCACUUCCGCAGCUGGGAGACAUGGAAGGUGUUGUGGAUCUGACUGAGCUCGGCUGGCAGAUCCAGCCUAUAUGCCACCUUGCCCACCCGGGCUACAACCCUGAACGGACCAAUGUAUCUCGGGCCCAACUUGCCCCGCUUCCUGAAUCGAAUGACGCCUUUCCAAGGCGACACUUUCAGGAGAACCAUAUCCCCGACCUGGAACUCCAGGUCUGAUCGACGCUUGUCGGCGUAACUUUUCUGCCGACUCUGCGCAGUCUGAAGCCUGCUUCAAACCUGCUGGAUUUUCUCGGUCGUCUUGAGCACCACCUCGGUGCUCCCCAUGACCCUCUGGCCAACUUCACCCCAACAUAUCGGGGUCCUGCACCUCCGACCGUACAACAUCUCGAAUGGAGGACGGUCAAUACUCGCGUGGUAGCUGUUGUUGUACGAGAACUCAGCCAAGGGAAGAUAGGUAUCCCAGCUACCACCGAAGUCUAGCACGCAUGCCCGCAACAUAUCCUCCAAAGUCUGGAUGGUCCGCUCACUCUGACCAUCCGUCUGCGGGUGAAAGGCGGUGCUAAAAUGCAGACGAGUGCCCAACUCAUCAUGAAACUUCUUCCAAAACCUGGAAGUGAACCGCACAUCUCGGUCUGAUAUCACUGACACUGGCACCCCGUGCCGCGCCACUAUCUCCCUGAUAUAGAUAUCGGCCAACUUUUCGGCCGAGAUACUCUCCUGAAUCGGAAUAAAAUGGGCGCUCUUGGUCAACCGAUCCACGAUGACCCAAAUCGAAUCUACUCCUCGCGCCGUCCGGGGAAGCUUUGUGAUAAAAUCCAUCGUAAUAUCCUCCCAUUUCCACAACGGGAUAUCCAACGGCUGCAUCUUGCCGUGCGGUCUCUGAUGCUCGGCCUUGACCUUCCUGCAGGUCAAACACCGCUCGACGUACCACGCCACAUCCCGCUUCAUGCAGGGCCACCAAUAGUCUAGACGAAGAUCCCUAUACAUCUUCGUCGCCCCUGGAUGAAUAGAGAAUCGGGAUUUGUGCGCCUCCUCCAUCAAGAUCUGGCGCACGCCUCCAUGAUACGGCACCCACACCCUACGGUGUAGUGUCAAUAAUCCUCGGCUAUCAUAAUCGAAGGAGGUGACUUGACCCACUAUUCGCUCACUCUUCUGAUGUUCCUCCUUCAUAGCCUCCUGCUGAGCUUCCCGAAUCUGCUCUAACAGUGGAGUCACCACAGUCAUCCUCAUGCAAAUAUCCCUGAUCGGCGCCGCCUUGCGGCUAAGCGCAUCGGCCACCACAUUGGCCUUCCCUGGGUGAUAAAGGAUCUCGCAAUCAUAAUCCUUCACCACGUCCAGCCACCAGCGCUGCCACAUGUUCAGAUUCGGCUGAUCCAUGAGGCACCUCAAACUCUUGUGGUCCGUGAAAAUGGUACAUCGAACCCCGUAGAGGUAAUGCCGCCAUAUCUUGAGGGCGAAGAAUACCGCCCCCAACUCUAAAUCAUGUGUCGGGUAGUUCGCCUCGUGAGGCUUCAGCUGCCUUGAGGCAUAAGCAAUGACAUGCCCCCUCUGCAUCAAUACUGCGCCUAAGCCCGAGAUAGACGCAUCACAGUAUACCACAAAAUCCUCUACGCCCUCGGGCAGGGCUAAGAUUGGCGCCUCGCACAAUCUCUGCCUCAGAAUCUCGAACGCUGCCUGCUGCUCAGGCCCCCAUCGAAAGACCACGGCUUUCCUAGUCAACCGUGUCAGGGGUACGACUAUCUUGGAGAAAUCCUGAAUGAAUCUCCGAUAGUAGCCUGCUAAUCCUAGGAAACUCCGAAUCUCGGAUGGAGACUUCGGAACCUCCCAUCUCAUCACGGCCUCCACCUUGGCCGGGUCUACUGAAAUCCCGUUCUGGUUGACGAGGUGCCCAAGAAACUGCACCUCGCGCAACCAAAACUCACAUUUGGAGAACUUGGCGUACAAGCUCUCCCUCCUCAAGGUCUCCAAAACCUCUCUCAGAUGCUCCUCAUGCUCCUCCUGCGUCUUGGAAUAAACCAAGAUGUCAUCAAUGAAAACUAUCACAGACCGAUCCAACAUCGGUCUACACACGCGGUUCAUGAGGUCCAUGAACGCGGCAGGAGCAUUGGUGAGCCCAAACGGCAUCACCACGAACUCAUAAUGGCCAUAACGCGUCCGAAACGCGGUCUUCUGUACAUCCUCCUCUCUGACCCUCAUCUGAUGAUAACCUGAACGCAAAUCGAUCUUGGAGAACCAAGAUGCUCCCUGUAACUGAUCAAAGAGGUCAUCAAUCCUCGGGAGUGGGUAACGGUUCUUCACCGUUACCUUAUUCAGCUCCCGGUAAUCUAUACACAUCCGAUGCGACCCGUCCUUCUUCUUCACAAACAGGAUCGGGGCUCCCCAGGGUGAACUGCUCGGUCGAAUAAAUCCCUUGUCUAGCAGCUCCUGCAGCUGCGUAGACAACUCCUGCAUCUCGGGAGGAGCCAACCGAUAGGGUGCCUUGGCUAUCGGAGCCGCACCAGGAACUAGGUCGAUCCUGAACUCUACCUGACGCUCCGGAGGUAUUCCAGGAAGCUCCUCCGAGAAAACAUCAGUGUAGUCUCGCAUCACUGGAACCUCGCUCACCGUCGCUUUACCCGUCUCCCGGGUAUCCAGAACAUACGCGACAUAUCCCGUGCAACCUUGCUGAAGGUAACGCCUAGCUCUCGCUGCUGAACAUACUGCAGGUCCACGCUGCGGCCUCUCACCAUGGAUCACCAACUCUCCCCCACUCGGGGUCUUGAUCCGCACUAGCUGCUGUGCGCAAUCUAUUACCGCCCCAUUAGGGCUCAACCAAUCCAUGCCUAUAAUCACCUUGUUCCCCCGCAACAGAAUGGGAACCAAGUCCACCAAAUAGCGCUCCUCAAAUAACCUCAGAACACAAUCCCUGAACACUGUUGAUGCUCGUACCGAUCGAUCAUCGGCAAUCUCUACCUCUAAAAGGCAAUCCAACAUACCCGAGGACUCAGUAAAUCUCUUGCUAAGCGCAAGGGAAACAAAUGACCGAGUGGCACCCGAGUCAAACAACACCUGAACUGGGAUACCGUUCAUAUAACGAUCCUAACGCAUAAACACAGGGCACAUAUCAAUAACGCAACAUCAUAAAAAUAAAAUAGAGGGAAAGAAUCAUACCCUUCACCACAUCAGGUGCAGCGCAUGCCUCCUCUGCAGUCAGCUGAAACGCCCAGCUCCUCACCACUGGAGCCUCUGCCUUGCCCUGCCGACCAUCUGUAAUCCGCAGGGUAGCUGGAGCUGGCGCCUUAACCGGCGCUGAUGCUAUCAACUAGGGGCAAUUAGCCUUCUUGUGGCCCCUCUGGUUGCAAUGGAAACACAGAAACUCAGACGUCUGCAUCACAGGUGCAGGGGCGGUAUAAUCCCGGCUGAAGUGCCCUGGCUUUCCGCACUUGUAGCAGCCUGACGAUCCUAUCUUGCACACUCCCUCAUGCGNCAGGGUAGCUGGAGCUGGCGCCUUAACCGGCGCUGAUGCUAUCAACUAGGGGCAAUUAGCCUUCUUGUGGCCCCUCUGGUUGCAAUGGAAACACAGAAACUCAGACGUCUGCAUCACAGGUGCAGGGGCGGUAUAAUCCCGGCUGAAGUGCCCUGGCUUUCCGCACUUGUAGCAGCCUGACGAUCCUAUCUUGCACACUCCCUCAUGCGCCCUGCCGCAUUUCCUAUAGCGGUCCCGCCCCUGUUGGCCUUUCGGCCCCGCACCCAAUCCCUUGGGUUUCUUUCCCGAAGCCCCCGUAACAUGCCUCUCUUCCGCCUUCCUCUUCCGGAUGUGCUCCGGAUCUAUCUCCCUCUCCCUAGCCCUGGCAAUAAUAGAGUCCAGGGUAGGGCAAGCUGAAAAACUAACAUGCUCUCGAAUAUCAGCUCGUAGCAUGUCAUGAUAGCGGGUCCUCCUCAUAUCCUCAUCACCCGCGUACUGGGGCACCAGCAACGCCCUCUCCGGAACUUGGCNNNNNNNNNNNNNNNNNNNNNNNNNNNNNNNNNNNNNNNNNNNNNNNNNNNNNNNNNNNNNNNNNNNNNNNNGACAGCCAGCGCGAACUCUGCCCUGAACCUGGUCGCGAAGUCCGACCAAGUCAUAGCCUCAACAGCUGUGGCUCCCAACGAGUCACCCACGGACUCCCACCAAUCUCUAGCUCGAUCUCGUAAACACUCCGCUGCGAACCUCACCUUCGACCCCUCAGGGCAGAAGCUGAUCAUCUGUGCAGACUCAAUAUCUACAAUCCAUCGUCUGUCAGCUAUGGGGUCCUUCGCCCCGUGAAAAUCCGGCGCACCACUGCCCCGGAAGUCCUUGAAGGACAGUGUGCGGGAUCCCGACUGGCCAGAUGCCAUGUCGCUCCUGAAUGCCCGAAGGCGAUCCUCCAUCAACUCUAAUAUCCCUUCCUUGAUCGACCCGAAGAUAUUGGGGGUCGACUCAAGGAUGCCUCUGGUGAUCUCUGACGCGAUGAACUCGCGUAGCCUCUCAUCUACUGGCUCGGAACCUGAUCCUGAUCCCGAUCCCUCUCCUGUACUACCAACUGCUGGCCUCAAGCGUAGUAUCACCAUUCUGAAAAACAUAAAUAAUAACCGUUAGCGAUACUGAUACCUCUGGAGGAAUCACACCUACUACAAGUUUCCUGGUCUUAUCUUGGCCUUCCUCGGUUCGGGUACGGAUCCUCUGCUUUCAGUAGUACGGGCCCAUACUACCUUCCAAAUCUAUUCGUACCUUCUCCAAGGACUGCCUUGACUCCACCAGGUCCCUAUCACUACCACUGAUCACCGCUAUACUUAUCCUAGGCUUGCCCCAGGAAAAUCUCUAACUCCACUCGACCCGGUCCUCAACUGCUGAAGGCCUCCUUGUAAUGCCAGUUAGCCACUACCUGAACACCAUCACAUGUGAUGAGGCACAGAUAAUCCUUCGAGUAACAAAUUCGUCCUUAUAACGGUUAGACUCAAACGAGAGCUGUGCAAUAAGGCCAAAUCCAACACUCUAAGAUUAUUCAACCCUGAUCAUAUGUGAGUGACGUAUUCACCUAAUGGCUAACUCCCAUCACCCUGAAUCCCACAAAGCACAAAGCAAGUAGCAUUCAGACAAAAGGGAACAACACGCAAAUCCGUUCUCAUAGAGAGAAACUGAACUAGCAUACGGUGCUAAACUCAUACUAUCAGGCAUAACCUAACAGGCUAUCCUACUGUUGUCCACUCAANUAGCAUGCAACUUUUCAUACACUGAAGCACAUAAAGCAGACAUAUAAGGCAUCACUCCUAGAUCCUUAGUCCUAUUCUAGCAUGUUAUUCUACUGAAACUGAUAAUCAUAACAUAAGCUUGUAUGGAUAAUUUUGGGGAAUACUUACUUAAGCUCGGCCGGUCGCGCACAUCACACACUUUGUUCUUUAUUAAAACCCUUUACUUAGCCUUUUAGAAAACAUUUUCUUUUUCUAAAAUCUCUUAAUCCCUCGAUUUGAGUUCAAACACCCCCGAAGGUGUGUCUGAAUCCCUCAAACCAGGGCUCUGAUACCAACUUGUAACAUCCCAAAAUACGAGCCAAAAAUUUCAUUUUUAAAACAUGUAAUUAGCAAAAAAUUAAGAAUAAAACGAUCAACAUUCAUAUCAUUUCACAAGAUAUUGUCUGUCUGGAAAACAUUUUUGUAAAACAUAAAAGUGUCAGAGUACAAAUCCCCAGGAAGAUCUCAUAAUGCGGAACGCAAGCAGGUGUGUGAUGUACCGCUACCGCGCCGGCUCCUUCCCCUUCGAAGAAGAGGUACCUAAAACCAAAACUGAAAACUGUAAGCACGAAGCUUAGUGAAAUCCCCCACUGUACCACAUACUAUAUAAUCACCUAACAUACAUAUACUGUCGGGCAUAUCUGGGUGCCCGACCUACCCCUUCGGUCCUUACGACCGAAUACUGUCAGGCAUAUCUGGGUGCCCAACCAACCCCUUCGGUACUUACGACCGGAUACUGCCGGGUAUAUCUGGGUGCCUGACCUACCCCUUCGGUCCUUACGACCGGAUACUGGGGACUAUUUCACCCCUACUGCUACCACAUAUCACAUAGCAUCAUAGCAUACUAGCACAUAAACAUAAACAUAACACAGGUAGUAACAACCCUAGAUGAAUAUCACAGAGACAAUCACCUAUCAGACAACUCCUACUGGUGGGCCGGCAUUGUGGUCGUAGACCCACCGCUACUGGAAGGUAACUCACCUCAAAGUAGCUGCUGAUCUGCGUGGGAACUGACUGUCUGCUGCUGCUGCCGCUCCGGAAAUCCUCCGGCUAUAAUUCCCACAAAACCCUUAGUCAAAUACUGCUAACCGACCUUAGGGUAAAAUGACCAUUUACCCCUUACCAAUCAAGAGUCAAAUCAAAGUCAACUGCCAGUUGGCCCGACUCGCCGAGUUGACUUGUCAACUCGCCGAUUUCCUAUCCCUUUGUCCGACCAUAAACCCGUCUCUACUCAUCGACUUAAGCAUUGACUUGACGAGUUCUCCUUCUAAACUAAAGGCCAAUAGUUCUUCAUCCUACUCGCCGAGUUGUAUGAACAACUCGCCGAGUUCUUCUUCAUCCGAAGAACACUCUAUGCUGAGACUCGCCGAGCUGUAUGAACAACUCGCCGAGUCUGUUCUUGAGGUAAGAAGAUUGCCUUGAACUCGCCGAGUCAUGGCAUUGACUCGCCG